AUUCCCCUGGCCAACUCCUGGUCCUGCUGAAGCUAUGUGGGUUUCUGGGUUGUAAUGAAAGGGGGUAGAUGAUUUAGCUCUCUUCCCUCCCUGUUGGAUUCAGUUCCAUACAGGGCCUUAAAAGAUGCUUACAUU